AUGGCCGGGAUGUGCCGGGCGGCCGUGACCCUGCUGGAGUGCGGGGGGGACCUCCAGCCCCCCGGGUGGUCCCUGACUCUGCUCUGCCGCGGGAAUGGAUUCGAUUUUGGGAGUUAUGGAAUGAAUUGGGUUCGCCAGAGCCCCGGGAAGGUGCUGGAAUACGUUGGGUGUAUCAACAAUGGUGGCAGCACCGGAUACGCGCCCUCGCUCAAGGGUCGGGUCACGAUCUCCAGGGACAACGGGCAGAGCUCGGUGACGCUGACCAUGAACAGCCUCAAGGACGAGGAUUCCGCCGUUUAUUUCUGCGGUAGAAGUUACAGUAGUGGUUGUGGGUCUGCUGCGGGUUAUGCUGAUGGUUUUGGCAGGAUUCUUGUCCCGGUCACUUCGUUCCCACCUGUCCCCAAAUGUCCCCAGACCCUUUCCCCAAACCCCAACGCUUGA